ACAACCUGGUAUUUCAGUGCGCGCACAACUACAGUGGAGAACUCAGACCAUGGAGUGGCAUGGAUGCAUAGAUCAGGCGAGUGAUCAACGUAGCAUAGAUAAUCGUCAAAAUUGCUGGAGAAGAAACAGCCUUGGCAUGAUGGCCAAGCCACACCGAAUGCCAGCAAGUGUAAGAUCAGAGGGGAUCGGGCCUUACUGAACCGUCGGCGUUGGAGUCAAGGUAGCUGAGGGAGCACAGCACCGUCGAGCCCGAGACGAUAGCCGCUUGUGCAGAGAGGCGGGGUGGUCGGCUGACAAACCGGAGGUGCCAAAGCUGCGCCGGCGACCCGUGGGGGUCUAGGGUUUCUGCGGGGGCAUGGGCAGGGUCGCAUAGGACGUCGGGGAGGCGGCGGGCUGCGGGUUAGAGGCAGGGCCGUUGAGGGGCCUGUGCGGGCGGUGCGACCGCACAGGGCCCCCAAAUUUCAGGGGCCUUGGGCCAUAUGGUUAAUGUAUAUAUUCUGAGUUUGGGCCGUUUUCAUUAUUCGUCAAUGGUUGGAGCCAGCAGUUAACUGGGCUCCAUCGCUCUCCCGAACUGGGCCUGUACGCCUGGUCAUUAUCUAGAAACCCGAGACCGGUUCGAUCGAUCAUGUCUGCGAGGGGAUCAGGGGAUCUGCUGCUUCCGCGUUGAUAGGAAACCUCUUCGACCUCUUUCAUCUUGAUUGGAUCCCCUUGGUCACUGCUACUUCUAGCUCUGAUUGAUUCAGGGCAUGCUUGAUCGAGGAGUGCAAGAAAACAACAAAAAGUCCUGCUGUAGGUUGAAGGGAAGGAGACGAAGGGCAUGGGUACUUGAAAAAUAAGCAAUCACGUUGCCUCCAUCUCCUACAGAUCGAGUUCUUCCAUGAAUUUGACCCUAGACGAUCUGGUAAGUGAGUCAUUACUCGAUGCAGUUUAGUAGUAUCAUUUAUUCUUCUGGUAUUAAUAUUUGAUAUACUUCUGAAUACUAUACGCAAUAAUGCAUACUUCAAUUAUAUACUGUAUAUAUAAUUAAGUAGGAGAAUGUUUCAGUUAUAUUGGUUAUUUAGUAUAUGACUUGUAAAAAAAUUAGGCCUAAUUUUUUGCAUUCCGCACCGGGCCCCCGAAUUCCUGGAGACGGCCCUGGUUAGAGGAGAAUAGAAAGAGGGAACCGAACCAGGGAUCAAGAGUGCAGGGAAGCGCCGGAGUUCCUUGGAAUCGGUGGUGGAGAGAGAGGAAUCGGGGAGAGAGCUGGCGGAGAGGAUUUUAUUUUUCUUUCAUCCUUAGACGCAUGAUAUUAGCGCAGGAGGUGGUGGUGGUGGAUGAGGUUAAAGGCCUUCGUGGCUCGUGGGGAGGUGGCCAGGUGGGAGGGUUAACCCAAAGACAACACAUGCUACAGUUCGUUUCUACAUAUGUGUUGCCAUAUGGGAGUGUUUGUUGUA